rnacentral:rRNA from 1 species
GUCGUAACAAGGUCUCCGUAGGUGAACCUGCGGAGGGAUCAUUACACAAAUAUGAAGGCGGGCUGGAACCUCUCGGGGUUACAGCCUUGCUGAAUUAUUCACCCUUGUCUUUUGCGUACUUCUUGUUUCCUUGGUGGGUUCGCCCACCACUAGGACAAACAUAAACCUUUUGUAAUUGCAAUCAGCGUCAGUAACAAAUUAAUAAUUACAACUUUCAACAACGGAUCUCUUGGUUCUGGCAUCGAUGAAGAACGCAGCGAAAUGCGAUAAGUAGUGUGAAUUGCAGAAUUCAGUGAAUCAUCGAAUCUUUGAACGCACAUUGCGCCCUUUGGUAUUCCAAAGAGCAUGCCUGUUCGAGCGUCAUUUGUACCCUCAAGCUUUGCUUGGUGUUGGGCGUCUUGUCUCUAGCUUUGCUGGAGACUCGCCUUAAAGUAAUUGGCAGCCGGCCUACUGGUUUCGGAGCGCAGCACAAGUCGCACUCUCUAUCAGCAAAGGUCUAGCAUCCAUUAAGCCUUUUUUUCAACUUUUGACCUCGGAUCAGGUAGGGAUACCCGCUGAACUUAAGCAUAUCA